AUGAUGGACUGUAGGACAGGACUGCUGCUCUUAACUAUCUGCUGGGCAGGUGUUGAUGGUCAGACUCUGACCGAAUCUGACCCGGCAGUAAAAAGACCUGGAGAAUCCCACAGACUGACCUGUACAACAUCUGGUCUGCCAGUCAGUAGCAACCAUCUGGCCUGGAUCAGACAGGCUCCUGGAAAAGGACUGGAGUGGAUCGCUACUCUGUAUAGUGGUGGGGGCAUCUACUAUUCCCAGUCAGUCCAAGGUCGUUUCACCAUCUCCAGAGACAAUGGCAGAAACCAGCUGUAUCUGCAGAUGAACAGUCUGAAGACAGAGGACACAGCAGUGUAUUACUGUGCUCGAAGAGACACAGAGGCAUGUGAGAACAGUUGA